rnacentral:rRNA from 1 species
UACGGGGGGGGUGCGAGCGUUGUCCGGAAUCACUGGGCGUAAAGGGCGCGUAGGUGGUUUGAUAAGGGUGUGGUGAAAGCCCGGGGGCUCAACCCCCGGGUCUGCCGUGCCGACUGUCAAACUCGAGGGCUGUAGAGGCAGACGGAAUUCCGGGUGUAGCGGUGGAAUGCGUAGAGAUCCGGGAGGAAGACCGGUGGCGAAGGCGGUCUGCUGGGCAGUUUCUGACACUGAGGCGCGACACGUGGGGGAGCAAACAGGAUUAGAAAACCC